AGCAGCCGCGGUAAUUCCAGCUCCAAUAGCGUAUAUUAAAGUUGUUGCAGUUAAAAAGCUCGUAGUUGAAUUUCGGGGUUAGUAGGUUGGUCGUGCCACUGGUACGUACUGGUCUCACUGACUCCUCCUUCCUGAUGAACUGUAAUGCCAUUAAUUUGGUGUUGCAGGGAAACUGGACUGUUACUUUGAAAAAAUUGAGUGUUUAAAGCAAGCUAACGCUUGAAUACAUUAGCAUGGAAUAAUGAAAUAGGACGUUCGAUCCUAUUUUGUUGUUCUAGGAUUGACGUAAUGAUUAAUAGGGAUAGUUGGGGCAUUAGUAUUCAAUUGUCAGAGGUGAAAUUCUUGGAUUUAUUGAAGACUAACUACUG
rnacentral:rRNA from 1 species